UGGGAAUCUUAGACAAUGGGGGCAACCCUGAUCUAGCCAUGCCGCGUGAGUGAUGAAGGCCUUAGGGUUGUAAAGCUCUUUCAGCUGGGAAAGAUAAUGACGGUACCAGCAGAAGAAGCCCCGGCUAACUCCGUGCCAGCAGCCGCGGUAAUACGGAGGGGGCUAGCGUUGUUCGGAAUUACUGGGCGUAAAAGCGCACGUAGGCGGACUGGAAAGUCAGAGGUGAAAAUCCCAGGGCUCAACCUUGGAACUGCCUUUUGAAAACUAUCAGUCUGGAGUUCGAGAGAGGUGAGUGGAAUUCCGAGUGUAGAGGUGAAAAUUCGUAGAUAUUCGGAGGAACACCAGUGGCGAAGGCGGCUCACUGGCUCGAUACUGACGCUGAGGUGCGAAAAGCGUGGGGAGCAAAACAGGAUUAGAUACCCUGGUAGUCCACGCCGUAAAACGAUGAAAUGCCAGACGUCGGCAAGCAUGCUUGUCGGUGUCACACCUAAACGGAUUAAAGCAUUCCGCCUGGGGAGUAACGGUCGCAAAGAUUAAAAACUCAAAAGGAAAUUG
rnacentral:rRNA from 1 species